rnacentral:rRNA from 4 species
AAAUUGAAGAGUUUGAUCAUGGCUCAGAUUGAACGCUGGCGGCAGGCCUAACACAUGCAAGUCGAACGGUAACAGGAAGCAGCUUGCUGCUUCGCUGACGAGUGGCGGACGGGUGAGUAAUGUCUGGGAAACUGCCUGAUGGAGGGGGAUAACUACUGGAAACGGUGGCUAAUACCGCAUAAUGUCGCAGGACCAAAGAGGGGGACCUUCGGGCCUCUUGCCAUCAGAUGUGCCCAGAUGGGAUUAGCUAGUUGGUGAGGUAACGGCUCACCAAGGCGACGAUCCCUAGCUGGUCUGAGAGGAUGACCAGCCACACUGGAACUGAGACACGGUCCAGACUCCUACGGGAGGCAGCAGUGGGGAAUAUUGCACAAUGGGCGCAAGCCUGAUGCAGCCAUGCCGCGUGUAUGAAGAAGGCCUUCGGGUUGUAAAGUACUUUCAGCGGGGAGGAAGGGGAUAAGGCUAAUAACCUUGUU